UACGUAGGUGACAAGCGUUGUCCGGAUUUACUGGGCGUAAAGAGCUCGUAGGCGGUUUGUCGCGUCUGCCGUGAAAGUCCGGGGCUCAACUCCGGAUCUGCGGUGGGUACGGGCAGACUAGAGUGAUGUAGGGGAGACUGGAAUUCCUGGUGUAGCGGUGAAAUGCGCAGAUAUCAGGAGGAACACCGAUGGCGAAGGCAGGUCUCUGGGCCGAUACUGACGCUGAGGAGCGAAAGCGUGGGGAGCGAACAGG
rnacentral:rRNA from 1 species